rnacentral:pre_miRNA from 1 species
AGAGGCGCAUGUGCCUUUUCUGCACACUCGGUAUAGUCACACGCACACGGUCAGUAGAGGCACGUGUGCCUUU